ensembl:lncRNA
GGACAGUUUCGUCCGGACUCUGGACGGAGAGAUGUUGGUUAACAACAUUUUUCAAGUUACAUUCUUGUUCAUGUUUUGCCAAAUAACCUUAAAUCCUUAAUUCACCUCAUCAUACGGACUCUGGAUUCGUAAGCUCAGAGGCGACGGACCCAUUUACGGACGAAACACCUCCGGGACCGGACGAAACUGUCCGUAUCCGGAGAUAUGUAUCGGCCUUAAGUCCAAAGCAAAGUGGCCCCAGAUGUUAGAGCUACUCACCUUCUGUUACAAUUGCACAGAGCACGAGACAACAGGCUUUGCACCUUUUUAUCUGAUGUUCGGUAGAGUCCCUCGUCUCCCAGUUGACGUCCUGUUUCAAACUGUGGUUUCUGACGAUGUUGUGGUGGACCACAAUGAGUUUGUGUCACGCCUGAAGAAAGACCUGCGUGAAGCGGUGCAGAUUGCACAAAGACACAGUCAGAAAGAACAGACUAGACACGCAAGGCUCUAUAACAGGAAGGUCAAGGGGUCACCUCUAAUCAUUGGUGACAGAGUGCUCGUUGCGAACAGAGGUGAAAGAGGGAGAAGGAAGUUGGCUGACAAAUGGGAGUCAACAAUGUACGAAAUUGUGGCUGCGAACCCUGACAUCAAUGUCUACAAGAUCAAAGACGUUGCCUCUGAUAAACUGAAGGUAGUCCACCGAAAUCUACUGCUUCCUGUGAACUUCUUACCGAUUGGUGAUGGAGAAGACACCCACACCAGGGGUAGUGGUGAGGUGGUUCCUGAAGUCAGCCCUCGGAAGAAGUAGAUCACAGAGGCGAGGUGGUGCCUGAAGUCAAUUCUGUAGUUGAGGUGGAUGUCAGUGAGGGGAUGGUUCCCAAAGUCAACCUCCCAGGUGAGAUUGAUGGCAGCGUUGACCGGACUGUACACUGGAUGCUGUCCAGCCCUGAUGAUUCUGAGUUGGAGGAUCGACAGACUGGCCUCUCUGAAGGACAUGAUGUGUCUGAUUGGGUGUCUGAACCAUUUGACUCAGCUAGUGUCAUCGGCAGUGAUCGGAGUUUGGAGGACAGUGAUGUUCCCCCUAUAAUCAAUGGCCGACACAGUGCUGAGCUCCACCCCGUGGUCAUUGCACAUGAAGAGGUAUCCAUAGAUGCACUUCCAGUAUGCACUCAACCUCUGGGUUUUGAAGACACAGUAGCUCGAACCAGACGAGGCAGGGCUGUCAACCCUCCAGAGAGGCUCAUUUGCGAAAUGAAUGAGCAAGUCCUUGACACUUCAGAGUCCACAGUGAACUCUUUCAUUUAUUUAGUUAAAAGUUUGUUUUGAGAUUCAACAUAUAGGUACUAGAUGUCAGUGUAGUCAGUCUAUAGACAUAGUAAGACACAGUUAGAGAUAAGUAUCCUUUAUAGCAAUAUUUGAGGUGUAACAGGCAUCUCAAGAGUCUACUUUUGGUCUUGUGGAUGGCGCCAUCCCAUUCCUUAAGUACUCCUUAGUUGGAGGAUUCCUUAAUUGACAGCUAGUGAUAUUUGGUUUCAUUGACUUGUUAGUGCCUGUAUAAUUUUUUUUUCCGGUUUUGAGGCCUAGGAGGUAUUUUUUAUUUUUUAUUAUUUGUUUCUAUCUCUCUUCCUCUUUAUUUUGGUGAGUGUUUUACCGCUACGUCCCCAAUUUAGCAGGAUUUAAGGGAGGUGUAUGUAACGGAACAAAUAAAAUGAGUAUGUAUAUAGUUAUAUCCUGUAUCAUUGGGUCAAGACUUUUAUUUUGAUAUGUUGCUAAUGUUGUAUUCCGGAUAUCCUGCAGCAGAAAAGACGGUAACUGCUGCCGGCGGACCAGGAAAUGCUCUAAACCUGUCCUUUAUGUUGCUGACCCAUUGUGCAGGUAA